AGUGAACGCUGGCGGUAGGCCUAAUACAUGCAAGUCGAACGGCAGCACAGGAGAGCUUGCUCUCUGGGUGGCGAGUGGCGGACGGGUGAGGAAUACAUCGGAAUCUACUUUUUCGUGGGGGAUAACGUAGGGAAACUUACGCUAAUACCGCAUACGACCUACGGGUGAAAGCAGGGGAUCUUCGGACCCUGCGCGAUUGAAUGAGCCGAUGUCGGAUUAGCUAGUUGGCGGGGUAAAGGCCCGCCAAGGCGACGAUCCGUAGCUGGUCUGAGAGGAUGAUCAGCCACACUGGAACUGAGACACGGUCCAGACUCCUACGGGAGGCAGCAGUGGGGAAUAUUGGACAAUGGGCGCAAGCCUGAUCCAGCCAUACCGCGUGGGUGAAGAAGGCCUUCGGGUUGUAAAGCCCUUUUGUUGGGAAAGAAAUCCAGCUGGUUAAUACCCGGUUGGGAUGACGGUACCCAAAGAAUAAGCACCGGCUAACUUCGUGCCAGCCGCCGCGGUAA
rnacentral:rRNA from 1 species